rnacentral:rRNA from 1 species
UAGGGAAUCUUCCACAAUGGGCGAAAGCCUGAUGGAGCAACGCCGCGUGUGUGAUGAAGGGUUUCGGCUCGUAAAACACUGUUGUAAGAGAAGAAUGACAUUGAGAGUAACUGUUCAGGUAUUGACGGUAUUUAACCAGAAAGCCACGGCUAACUACGUACCAG